rnacentral:sRNA from 1 species
GCUGGGUGCGGUGGCGCACGCCUGUAAUCCAGCAGCUCAGGAGGCUGAGGCAAGAGGAUCACAAGUUCAAAGCCAGCCUCAGCAAUUUGGUGAGGCCCUGAGCAACUUAGCAAGACCCUGCCUCAA